UACGUAGGGGGCAAGCGUUGUCCGGAUUUAUUGGGCGUAAAGAGCGUGUAGGCGGCUUUACAGGUCCGUUGUGAAAACUCGAGGCUCAACCUCGAGACGCCGGUGGAAACCGUAAGGCUAGAGUCCGGAAGAGGAGAGUGGAAUUCCCCAAGUAGAGGUGAAAUUCGUAGAUAUGGGGAGGAACACCGGUGGCGAAGGCGGCAUCCUGGACCAACACUGACACUGAGGAGCGAAAGCCAGGGGAGCAAACGGG
rnacentral:rRNA from 1 species